UGUGGGCGGGUGCUGUAUCUCUCGCGUUCUGUUGGUUUGCUCUGGAAUGGAAUAAAAGGGAGGGAAGUUUGGAGCUGUAACCGUGUCACUUUAUUACUCGUGAACAGUUUAGCCCACAGAAGAUACUCUACUACAUCAACACUCCCUUGCAGAUCAGACGCCAUUAUCCCCAGGCCGUGGGAGGGAGGAAUUGAACGUUCCUGUGGACAGCGACUGGAGGAGCCCUCAGUUCCGACAAAAAGUCGUCGCUCAGAUUGAAGAGACCAUGAGAAUACCUGGCACAGCUCACACAAAGAACAGCAACGACAUUGAGAACCAUGUUUAUGGUAAAGCCCAAAUUAGGGAGACACAAUCAGACCCUUUCUUCAGGAUUUUACUUUCAAGGAGUGAGCAGUUCACAGCAAAGGCAACUUCCACUCACUGAAGAAAAGAAAAGAGUACUGUACAGCUCAUAAUAUAGUUGGUUUCCACCCGGGGAGUUGCAAAGUCACACAAUACAUGGGAAAAUAUUUCUUGCACCAUGCACAUCAGAUAAAGAUGCUACAGUACUGUACACAAAGGUACUCCCUUUCCUUGCAGAGCAGAAGGGAGAAAACGUCAAGGCCAAAGCACAGCUAACGAAGCUAUCGCAAAUCAGCAAAAGAUGUUUUAAUGAUUAAAUGCAGUAUUUUCCAAAAAAGUGUCAAACUGUGUAUUUGCAUGUGUAGUAGGAGAAAACUGUCACUAAUAGUAAUAAACGAUAUGCUAUUUCAAUA